rnacentral:rRNA from 1 species
AAAAUGUUGUCUCUCUUGAGUGGAUCCUGAGUACGACGGAGCACGUGAAAUUCCGUCGGAAUCUGGGAGGACCAUCUCCUAAGGCUAAAUACUCUCUAGUGACCGAUAGUGAACCAGUACCGUGAGGGAAAGGUGAAAAGCACCCCGGAAGGGGAGUGAAAUAGAACCUGAAACCGUGUGCUUACAAGUAGUCAGAGCCCGUUAAUGGGUGAUGGCGUGCCUUUUGUAGAAUGAACCGGCGAGUUACGAUUUGAUGCAAGGUUAAGCAGUAAAUGUGGAGCCGUAGCGAAAGCGAGUCUGAAUAGGGCGUUUAGUAUUUGGUCGUAGACCCGAAACCAGGUGAUCUACCCUUGGUCAGGUUGAAGUUCAGGUAACACUGAAUGGAGGACCGAACCGACUUACGUUGAAAAGUGAGCGGAUGAACUGAGGGUAGCGGAGAAAUUCCAAUCGAACCUGGAGAUAGCUGGUUCUCUCCGAAAUAGCUUUAGGGCUAGCCUCAAGUGAUGAUUAUUGGAGGUAGAGCACUGUUUGGACGAGGGGCCCCUCUCGGGUUACCGAAUUCAGACAAACUCCGAAUGCCAAUUAAUUUAACUUGGGAGUCAGAACAUGGGUGAUAAGGUCCGUGUUCGAAAGGGAAACAGCCCAGACCACCAGCUAAGGUCCCAAAAUAUAUGUUAAGUGGAAAAGGAUGUGGCGUUGCCCAGACAACUAGGAUGUUGGCUUAGAAGCAGCCAUCAUUUAAAGAGUGCGUAAUAGCUCACUAGUCGAGUGACACUGCGCCGAAAAUGUACCGGGGCUAAACAUAUUACCGAAGCUGUGGAUUGUCCUUUGGACAAUGGUAGGAGAGCGUUCUAAGGGCGUUGAAGCAUGAUCGUAAGGACAUGUGGAGCGCUUAGAAGUGAGAAUGCCGGUGUGAGUAGCGAAAGACGGGUGAGAAUCCCGUCCACCGAUUGACUAAGGUUUCCAGAGGAAGGCUCGUCCGCUCUGGGUUAGUCGGGUCCUAAGCUGAGGCCGACAGGCGUAGGCGAUGGAUAACAGGUUGAUAUUCCUGUACCACCUAUAAUCGUUUUAAUCGAUGGGGGGACGCAGUAGGAUAGGCGAAGCGUGCGAUUGGAUUGCACGUCUAAGCAGUAAGGCUGAGUAUUAGGCAAAUCCGGUACUCGUUAAGGCUGAGCUGUGAUGGGGAGAAGACAUUGUGUCUUCGAGUCGUUGAUUUCACACUGCCGAGAAAAGCCUCUAGAUAGAAAAUAGGUGCCCGUACCGCAAACCGACACAGGUAGUCAAGAUGAGAAUUCUAAGGUGAGCGAGCGAACUCUCGUUAAGGAACUCGGCAAAAUGACCCCGUAACUUCGGGAGAAGGGGUGCUCUUUAGGGUUAACGCCCAGAAGAGCCGCAGUGAAUAGGCCCAAGCGACUGUUUAUCAAAAACACAGGUCUCUGCUAAACCGUAAGGUGAUGUAUAGGGGCUGACGCCUGCCCGGUGCUGGAAGGUUAAGAGGAGUGGUUAGCUUCUGCGAAGCUACGAAUCGAAGCCCCAGUAAACGGCGGCCGUAACUAUAACGGUCCUAAGGUAGCGAAAUUCCUUGUCGGGUAAGUUCCGACCCGCACGAAAGGCGUAACGAUUUGGGCACUGUCUCAACGAGAGACUCGGUGAAAUCAUAGUACCUGUGAAGAUGCAGGUUACCCGCGACAGGACGGAAAGACCCCGUGGAGCUUUACUGUAGCCUGAUAUUGAAAUUCGGCACAGCUUGUACAGGAUAGGUAGGAGCCUUUGAAACGUGAGCGCUAGCUUACGUGGAGGCGCUGGUGGGAUACUACCCUAGCUGUGUUGGCUUUCUAACCCGCACCACUUAUCGUGGUGGGAGACAGUGUCAGGCGGGCAGUUUGACUGGGGCGGUCGCCUCCUAAAAGGUAACGGAGGCGCUCAAAGGUUCCCUCAGAAUGGUUGGAAAUCAUUCAUAGAGUGUAAAGGCAUAAGGGAGCUUGACUGCGAGACCUACAAGUCGAGCAGGGUCGAAAGACGGACUUAGUGAUCCGGUGGUUCCGCAUGGAAGGGCCAUCGCUCAACGGAUAAAAGCUACCCCGGGGAUAACAGGCUUAUCUCCCCCAAGAGUUCACAUCGACGGGGAGGUUUGGCACCUCGAUGUCGGCUCAUCGCAUCCUGGGGCUGUAGUCGGUCCCAAGGGUUGGGCUGUUCGCCCAUUAAAGCGGUACGCGAGCUGGGUUCAGAACGUCGUGAGACAGUUCGGUCCCUAUCCGUCGUGGGCGUAGGAAAUUUGAGAGGAGCUGUCCUUAGUACGAGAGGACCGGGAUGGACAUACCUCUGGUGUACCAGUUGUCGUGCCAACGGCAUAGCUGGGUAGCUAUGUGUGGACGGGAUAAGUGCUGAAAGCAUCUAAGCAUGAAGCCCCCCUCAAGAUGAGAUUUCCCAACUUCGGUUAUAAGAUCCCUCAAAGAUGAUGAGGUUAAUAGGUUCGAGGUGGAAGCAUGGUGACAUGUGGAGCUGACGAAUACUAAUCGAUCGAAGACUUAAUC